rnacentral:snRNA from 1 species
AUCCUUACCUGUUAAGAAAGAUACCAUGAUCAUGAAAGUGGUUUUUCCAGGAUGCUUAUUGCUUGCACUCUGUACCUGCUGAUCCCUGCGAUUUCCCCAAAUGUGAGAAACUCGACUGCGUAAUGUGUGGUAGUGUGGGACUGCGUUCGCGUUUUCACC